UAGGGUGGAGCCCAGCUGGGGUAGGGGUGGAGUUACCGAUUCACUGCUCCUUUCGAAACUGACUGAGAAGGAGCUGAGCUGCUCGCCACUAGCUGGGACUGAGGUCCCCAUGGCCUUCCCGCUGGAGAUUAGCCUUCUGGAGGACAAGUGGGACUUGUUUUUUUCUGCAAUUCAGUGGAUACAGUUCAUCAUGGCUACUCUGAGUGUUAUAGGUUCAAGUUCACUUAUUACCUAUGCUGCUUUCCAGAAUAUACAGAAAUCUCCAGAGAUAAAGCCACUCUUUUAUCUGAGUUUCUCUGACCUGCUCCUGGGAAUUUGUUGGCUCACUGAGGCACUUCUUUAUGGAACUUCAACAGCCUAUAAAGAUGUUGUCUGCUAUAACCUGCAAGCAGUUGGACAGAUAUUCUACAUUUCCUCAUUUUUCUACACCAUCAGUUAUAUCUGGUAUCUGUACACAGAACUGAGGAUGAAACACAUCCAGAGUGGACAGAGCACAUCUCCACUGGUGGUAGAUUAUACUUGUCAAAUUGGUCAGAUAGCCUUCAUUUUAUCAAGCCUGAUACCUCUACUGUUGAUGAUGCCUGUAUUUUGUCUGGGCAAUGCUAGUGAAUGUUUCCAUAACUUCAGCCAGAGUCACAGGUGUAUCCUGAUGCACUCACCACCAUCAGCCAUGGCUGAACUUUUGCCUUUGGCCAACAUACCUGUCUGCAACACACUUUAUUUUUAUGGUAUCACCAUUUUCCUGGCCAGCUUUUUACUCAGCCUCUUCAUCAUGAUGGUCUUACUCUUCCAAGCCCAGAUAUUGUAUAAGAAAUUUGUGAAAUCAAGUGGCUUUCUGGGAAGUGAACAGUGGGCAGUGAUUCACAUUAUGGAGCAACGCAUAUGCUUCUAUCCAGUGGCCUUCCUAUGCUGCUGGGGCCCAGCUAUCAUUCUGAUGAUCAUAAAACUCACCAAGCCACAGGACACCAAACUGCUUAUGGCCCUUUAUAUUCUCCAGGUCAGUUUUUUAUUAUCGGUACCAGGGAUCGAACUCAUGACUGUCUGCUUGCAAGGCAGGUGCUUAUGCUGCUGAGCUAAAUCCCCAGCCCCUAUCUCAGUACUGGGGAUCGAACUCACGACCAUGUGCUUGCAAAGCAGGCGCUUAUGCCGCUGAGCUGAAUCCCCAGCCCAACAGAAAGCAUCUUAUCAGUCGUUGCCUGGGACCAGAGGUUAGCAGGGGAGCAGACAGCAACAAGGCAGCUUGAGAAGCAACAGCAGUGUUCUGUGUCUUCACUGUGGAGGUGGUCCCAUGUUUCUUAAGCCUUAUCCGAGUGCACCACAAGUAGGAAUACAGUAGUCUCCCUCAUCUAUGGAGUUUUUAUGGGGGAAGUAUAUCUGUGAUCUCAUACUUUCCAACAACCAGUCAAAAAUAUUAAAUGGAAAAUCCCGGAAAUAAUUCAUGAGUUUUAAAUUGUGUGACAUUCUGAGCAGCAAAAUGAAAUCAUUCACGAUCUUAUACCAUCCUAUUCAAUUACCCCUAGCUCUUGAAUCAUUUCUUUAUCCACAAUAUCCACACCACAUCAGCUACCCACCUAUUAGUCACUUAGUACCAAGCUUGAUUAUCACAUUAACUGUAUCAGUAAUACACUGCUUGUGUUCAAGUAACCUCUAGUUUACUUAAUAACAGCCCAAAGCAUAAAAGUAAUGAUGUGGACAAUUCAGACAUGCCAAAGAAAAGCCAUAAAGAGGAUCCUUUACCAGCCACAGUGGUGCACAUCUAUAAUCCCAGCCCUCUGGAAGGUUAAGGCAGGGGCAUUAAAACUUCAAGCUCAGGGCUGGGGAUAUAGCUCAGCAGCACAAGCACCUGCCUGGCAAGCACAAGGUUCUAGGUUCAAUUCCCAGUACCAAAAAAGAAAGUUCAUACUCAACUUGGGUGAAUUAGCAAUUUAAUGGAGUCCUGCCUCAAAAUUUAAAAAAAAUUUUUUUUUUUCUUUUAAAAGGGCCAGGAACUUAGAUUUGUGCAAAGGCCCUGGGUUCAGUCCUCAGCAGCCGCCCUCACAAAAAACCUCUUCCUUUCUUUAAGUGAAAAGGUGACAGUUUAUCACAGACAUGUAUGCAUAGGAAAAAAAAUAUGAUACACCUAGGAUUUGGUACUUUCUGUGACUUCAGGCAACCACUGGGGGUCCUGGAAUGUAUCCCCCACAGAUAAGAGGAGACUACAGUAUUUUACUGUAUUUAAAUCAUACCUCUAUUCAUAAUAAAAUCCAAUUUUAAAAGAACAGGAUAUCUAUACAAAAUGAAGCAAUCAGUAGCUUUCUUAAGAUGAGAAAGCCCUCUCCCAUCUAUGAUAUAUGCCUACUUGCAUGGCAGAAUAGAAAGAACAUUAAUCUAGAAUGGAAGCUUGAUAAUACACUUUAGCAGAAAGAAAGCACAUGCUUACCUGAGGUGCUACAUAAUAAGGAGUGAACUGGGGUGUCAUCAAGUCACCUUGGUCAAUUUUAGCAAACCCAAAGUCACACAACUUCACCGGAGCAUCCUAAACAAAACAAAUGGGAGUCACUGCUCCAGAGUUGUUGGUAAACAUUAAAGGAAAGUCCAGGUGUACAACAAACUACUCUGAGCUCCCACAAGCCUCUGGCUGAGAUCUGAGCCUAUGAAUAGUAUGUUGUCAGGCCUCAAGACAACGGUUCGUGCUGAACAAUGGUUUUUAGUAACAUAGGAAAAAGGAAUUUCUACCCAUUCAUUUAGCCUAGCUUUAUAACAUAAAAUCGGCUGUAAAAUCAAGGUCUUAGCCUUCUGCCCCCUCACUCGAUGGACCAAUCACCUUUCACCAAUCCUGGGUGCUACUUUAUUUGAAACUGUUAAGUUUCAAAAUAACGUAACAGUAUAUAGAUUCCUACUCCUUCCCAAAGGUCCACUAAAUAUUUAUAAGCAUGAGUCCCAUAAAUAUACAUGAGUUGUCAUCUAAAAUUAUUAAUGCCAAGAGUGAGUUACAGUUUCUCUGAGCCUUUAGAAAGGAGAGGUGGAAAGAAAUAAGCCACGUGCCUAAUGCCUCUUUCUCCAUGGACUUGGAACAUCCCAAACACAUACAUAUCCACUUCUGAGCUGUGUUAAGACUACAGCUAGCAGUACUAAAAUGCAGAAAAGCAACUUUUCUCACCAAAGAGUUAUCCUUGAAAAGCAGAUUUUCAGGCUUGAGAUCUCUGUGUGCAAUGUUUAAUGAAUGACAGUGCUGUAGAGCCAAAGCUAUCUGAAAAAGGACACAGUGGAGCAAAAGCCUCUUAAGAAAGAGCAAUAUUUAUUUAAUAUUCCUUUGUAGAAAGUUCGGGAUGGUUAAGAAAAAAAUUCAUUAAAUCAAUCAAAACCUUGGUCAGUUUCAAUUUCAAAGCAGAAAUUAAGACAGACUUGGGCACCAAGAAAUAAGAGCAUAGUUUGACUAAAACCUAAAUCUUGUUAAACAAAAAGAAAAUAUGACAGUAAAACAAUUCUGUCAGAAUAAACUGAUGAUUACACCCUGUAACGAAUGGGAAGAAUGAAAGGCUCCCACUUUCAUUCUUGGACAUGUGAGAGGCACUGAAGUGAAACUGCUCAGCUGGGCAGUCUUCAGCAGGCAUGUGUCUCCCAGCAGGGCAGCAGCAGGACUGCCAGGUGUGCUGGAAGAGAACUGCACUUGCUAAGGAACUGAGUGGCAGACCGCCUUCAAACCAGUAAAUCACAAGACACUCAGCUCUUCCUGCAUAUACUCAAUGCUCCCAAAGAGGACAGAGAAAAGAACACAAGAAAGAACAACAUUCUCCAAACGACACGUUCUCCUGAAACUGCGGAUUUCCAGGCAGUUGAUGGUUCAAAUACAUUGGUAGGGAUGGGUAAAGCCACUGUUGGAAAUGCUGCUGCAGCAGACUGUCCUAGGCAAGUACUGGAGGCACUUGCGGAGCAAUGGAAACCUUUGAGUAGUUGGCCCUCUUCGUCCAUUCUUAGCAGGUGUAUUAACACCACUCACGUUCGUUCCAGCUAUGAGCGCAAAUCAGAAUAAACAGGAGAGCGAGAAAGCGUCGGUCACUACACAGGCACACACAGACGCGCGCACACACACGCACACACACACACAGACACACACACACAGACACACACCAACCCUUUCGAAACUGGGUCUUUGGAAUCCCGGAGAACGAAACGCAGGUGUGCUGGAACUUCUCGGUCCAAUUUUUCUCGUAUUCUGAGGCUGCAGCCCGGAGGAACGAGAUAGGACAAAGCAGGAGAGACGGUGACAUUCUCCCCUUACCUUGAUGGCUUUGUCCAUGUCGUUCUCCUCCGACAUGCUCCGCGAGGCCCCUACAGCCAAGAGCGCCGCAGGUUGUGCAGCUGCACGGUCCCCUAGCAGCCGAGGGGGCAAAGGGCUCGGAGAACGGGCCCCUGGACCUCGGGAAGACGGGCAGCAGCCGCCACUAGCGACAGGCGGGGAAGAGGGCCCCGGCGCCAGAUCGGCUUCGGGGGGCGGCUCUAAGCCGGCGGCGGAGGCGGCGGCGGCGGCAGCCCCUGGGGACAAACCUUUGUGCUGGACCCCGCGCGGUCGCCUCCCGGCCUCAUCCCCGGCCGGGGAGGCAGGCUCCCGCGGCAGGGCGAGGCGGGGAGGGCCUCGGCCCGGAGGCUUGUGCGGGGGCCCCGCUGGGCCGCCACUUAGACCCGGGCUCGCCAGGGCCUGAGAAGUAUUCUGCGCUUCCGCCUCCGACGCCGACACCGUCGUGAAGCCGAAGCCGAGCCCGCCGCCGCCCCCGCCGCCACUACUGCUCCGGCCGCCGCUUCAGCGCCACACAUCGCCGGGACACCCGCGCCGGGCAGCCGCGCCGGCCACCCGCCCGCGCUGUACCCGGCUGGAACUCCGGGCAGCCGCUCCAGCUGCCCAGCCCCGCUACUCCACGGCUCCACACGCCCCUCGCCACAGUCCUCCAGUGCUUCCGCGCCGCCCCCGAGCCGUGCGAUUGCUCCGCAGGCGCCCGCCUAGGCCUCCCCGAGACCGCCCGCGAGCCAUAUAGGCCCCCGGGCCUUCGGUUGCACUGGCGCUGAGCUAAUGACGUAGGAGGCGGCCUGAUUAGGCAGGGCCACUGGAGGUCGCCGCAGGACGCGAGUGACUGCGCCUGCGUUGUACUUGCGUUGCGGAGAUUUACACCUCCACGAGCACCCGCUGGAAACGACCUGUGCGGGCCGGUGGGUGAUACAGAAGAGGGGAAGUGAGAUCCGCGAGGGUGCUGCCGUAGGGGAAAGGAAUUGUCUGUUUCUUGAAGCUCUACAGGAUAGGCUUUUUGCGCUGUGGAGUAUGUUCUCAUCCCUCGUCUGUAGAUUUGGUAACCGAGGCUUAGAGGGCUUGUUACCGAACUUUCAAGACCAAAUACUGGGUUUCAGGGGUCCCAACAGAUCAUUUUCGGCCACCCGUCCUAAAACGCUAGCCAAGGAGUUGAGCAUUACCGUUAGGCAGAAAAGGAGCUUUAAUCAGUUUGGCCUACGUUGGGAAGGACCGAUAAAAGGUUCACGGUCCCUUCUCUGAGAUGCAGACCGAAACUUAGAAAAGAACAAAGACAAGGGCAAAGAAUUUGCAAGGCUGUCGGGGUAGAUAACCCUGGUCAAGCCGCAGUCUCACUGUUUUCUCGAACUGGUUCUGUGAAGAUGACCGGAGAUCUUUAUGGGGUAAAGUAACUGUUCCCAUGAGAGUUUGUUUCCAAGGAGUUUGAAUGAGGAAGUUAUGAAAACUGGCAAGUGAAGUCGGGCAUGGCCCAAUGAGGCCGGCGGAUCACCUUGAGUUCAAGGCCAGUCGAAACUACACAACAAGAUGCUGGCUCAAAAAAAAAAAAAAAAAAAAAAAAAAAAAAGGGUGUGGUGGGGAUUUAGCUUAGUGGCAUAAGUGCAAGGUCGUGAGUUCGAACCCCGGUACCAAAAAAAAAAAAAAAAAUACUGGCAAGUGAAUGUUCCUUCCAGUGUUACUGUCCUCAUGUAACUGGCACUGAAAAAUGAAACUUUAAAAGUUAGAUUUUUUUUUCUGGUAAAAAUAAGUAAGUUUUCCAAAAUUCCUUCUACCAAACCAACACCCCCUCCUUCCCUCAAUCCAGAUAAAAUGACAGAAUAUACAGACACCAGCCCCAGAAAGCAGAGCCCCAGUGGUUGGAAAUGAUAAAGCAGGCAUGGAGAUCUGCAUUGCCUGUGCUCCACCUCCUCUCUGUUCCUAACAAUAGAAGACCCUUACCCACCUGUUCAUGGGAAGGUGGUGAUUUGAGCCUAAGGGACUCCUCCAUCUCCUUGGAACUAGCUUUGUAUAAAUCCUAUUUCCUUUUUAUCAAAAUAACUGGCCUCCUUUGAUUUGGUCAGCACCAAGCAAGUGAACUUGUAGGGGUUCUGCAAGCAAAGGGAAAAUAAAGGAACACACACACCAAGGGUCAGCAAAAUGGCUGCCACCCAGCCAAAAACAAACAGCUUUUAUUGAGAUAAAGAACAAAGAAACUCUUACUGCACAUGCUUAGAUUAUAUAACUUGUUUGCUUCUUGUCCUUUUGGCACCUCAUGAUUUUAUCUUGGGGUGGCAGAAUGUUUCAAGGCCUGCACCUUCUACCAAGACACUGUCAACCAGAUGUGUCCAGGAAAAAUGGAGUCAGUGUGGCCUCUCUACAUGAACCUAGACAUAUGAACCUUAGAGGCUGAUAACACUCAAGUUUUGAAGGGGAUGAGGUGGGUCAUGUAAAUUUAAGACUAAUAACUGCUCCUUCAGUAACUAAGAUGCUUGUAUUCAGAGCUGAGAAGCGAUCUGAGGAAAAAUUUUAAGUUUCAUAUUUAGUAUGUUGGAAGAUUCAUGAGUCCAAACUUUAAUCAAGGUACAUGGAAUUGUUAUAACACAUGCUAAAAGACAUAUAAAGUGAAGGCAGAGAUGGCAAGCUUUAUCUUGCCUUCAGUUUCCCGUUGGACACCUGCAGACAGGCUUAACCCAUUUGCACGAAGCCAAAAACUGGUCAAGAUAGAAGCCCAGCCCAUCCCCACCUGUUUGGGGUGUUGUGGUUUUGGUUUGUGUGCUUUUAAAGACGAUCUUGCUAUGUAGCCAGGCUAACAUCAAACUUUGAAUCCUCUUGCCUCAGUCUCCCAAGUCCUGGGAUUACAGUCAUGCACGACAUCACCUCUUGAUAGUUCUUCAUCACUUGUUGACUGAGACAAGUGAUGUUUACACAAGCACAUGUAAACUAGGCCUGCUAGACACCGAGGGGACAAUAGUCAAGACACAGUACUUACUUGUAGAUCUUCAGGAACAGGAAGCAGUUAAUACACAGGGAGGAAGAGUGUGAUGUUAAAAAGAAAAUGAACGGGGCACUGGUGUAAGAAUAGCUGAAUGCUGUAUGAUAGUAUCAAGUUUGAGGGUAUAGGCAACUACUUUGAAGGCAAUAAGAUUCACUAUGAUGCCCAUUCUGGUUUGACUAUUAUCUCCUUUGGAAGUCCUGUAAUGUUUACAAUGUUUAAGUUUUAUUGGUCUUGUUCUCUACUGUUUUGUUCAACUUUAUAAUACCUAAUGAGAUAGACAAUUCUUUUUAAGGAAGCAAGAGGCAUUAUGGUAAUCACUGUUGAUAACCUUGUACUCUGUUUUUACAUCAUGUGCUAUGUCUAUCCUUGGUUUUGACUGACAGCUUUGUUUUGCCAUAUUUGACUGUAUUCUCUUCCAAAAAAAAAAGUAAUAAGAACUAAGGAGUAAUAAAACCCAAAAUGUGUAAAUUUUGUUGUAAAAAAGAGAGGGAAAAAAAGUGCUCUAAAGGAUACAACUGCAAGUGUGUUUAGGGGUGUUAAAUAGCUGACCAUAUUAAUGUUUUUGGUUGGAUCAUUGAACACAACUGUUUGCAGUCUCUCUGUUUGAAUGUUCACUUUGUGUGCUUUGAUACUGUGACUUGAGCAACUAUCUCUAGGAUGAUAAUGUGUAAUAUAUUGACUGGUGAUUUCUUAGUUUUUUGUUUUUUUGUAGUUCUGUAUUACUUGUACCCUUACACCACUUUGUUUUGUUUUGUUUUUUCUCUUUUCCCUUUUAAAUAAAAUUUAAAAAAAAAGAA